rnacentral:rRNA from 1 species
AUUGAACGCUGGCGGCAGGCCUAACACAUGCAAGUCGAACGAGUGGCGGACGGGAGAGUAAUGUCUGGGAAUCUGCCUGAUGGAGGGGGAUAACUACUGGAAACGGUAGCUAAUACCGCACACUAUCCGAUCUGCACAGAUGGGAUUAGCUUGUUGGUGGGGUAUCGGCUCAUCAAGGCCACGAUCCCUAGCUGGUCGGAGAGGAUGACCAGCGACACUGGAACUGAGACACGGUCCAGACUCCUACGGGAGGCAGCAGUGGGGAAUAUGGCACAAUGGGCGCAAGCCUGAUGCAGCCAUGCCGCGUGUAUGAAGAAGGCGUUCGGGUUGUAAAGUACGUUCAGCGGGGAGGCGUUACCCGCAGAAGAAGCACCGGCUAACUCCGUGCCAGCAGCCGCGGUAAUAC